rnacentral:pre_miRNA from 10 species
GGCUGGACAGCGGGCAACGGAAUCCCAAAAGCAGCUGUUGUCUCCAGAGCAUUCCAGCUGCGCUUGGAUUUCGUCCCCUGCUCUCCUGCCU